rfam:Vitis vinifera, whole genome shotgun sequence of line PN40024, unoriented chromosome 5, chr5
GCACAUCUCAAGUUUGUGCGUGAAUCAAACCCCAUCGUAGCCGUCCAUAUCUUCGGGUACUAAUCACGGGGCGAUUCGACGCCGUUAGAUUCACGCACAAACUCGUGAUCUGUCC